AAAUAACACUACCAAGAACAAAAAUAUCCACUUUUUCGGUUCUCUACACCCAUGGUGUUGGUGCACAAAAGUGCAUACAUAAAUAUGUUUUUUUUUAAGUUAAAGGACAGGCGAGCAACUGCUGGAAAACAUUUAUAUUGGCUAAUAGCUAAAGAAGGAUCAUUAAGCUAAUAACAUAAGCAGCCCUGUAGAGAUCAUUUUAUAUUGGCAUCCAAAAUAUGCAACUACUGCUUUGCCAUUGCUAAUGUGUUCAAGAUGGGCAAAGGGAAGAGAAUAAAAAAUAAAAACCUUAGCUCGGACAUUGUUAAGAAACAAAAAUGGCAUUUUCUAUGAUAACUUUAUUUUUACAAAAGUAAAACUUAAUUGGAUAACUACCUUUGACUGUUAGAUUGGAUGGAGUCAUGUUAUGGUGGCAAAGACAAAAUAAUUAAAAACAAAAUUACCACAGAAGGAACAAAAGAAUUUACAUGGUAAAAAGAAAAAUUGCAAGCCAGUGCAAAGUGGCACCAGUUCACAACUUAGAACUCAAAUAAACCCCCAAGAGGCUCACAAAGAAUUUUGCACAACACAUAUGGGUUUGACCAGAACAAGAUAAAGCACAAAAUCAUAUAAGCUCUUAGCAGUUGACUUUUGCAUUCACAUCAAAUUUCAGUUCAUUGAAGUUACAAGAAGUAUAUCCCGCUAUAAGAUGAAUAUUAAAACUUAC
rnacentral:misc_RNA from 1 species